GAUGAACGCUGACAGAAUGCUUAACACAUGCAAGUCAACUUGAAUUUGGGUUUUUAACUUAGGUUUGGGUGGCGGACGGGUGAGUAACGCGUAAAGAACCUGCCUCACAGCUAGGGACAACAUUUGGAAACGAAUGCUAAUACCUAAUAUUAUGAUAAUAGGGCAUCCUAUAAUUAUGAAAGCUAUAAGCGCUGUGAGAGAGCUUUGCGUCCCAUUAGCUAGUUGGAGAGGUAACGGCUCACCAAGGCGAUGAUGGGUAGCCGGCCUGAGAGGGUGAUCGGCCACAAGGGGACUGAGACACGGCCCUUACUCCUACGGGAGGCAGCAGUGGGGAAUAUUGGACAAUGGACCAAGAGUCUGAUCCAGCAAUUCUGUGUGCACGAUGAAGUUUUUCGGAAUGUAAAGUGCUUUCAGUUGGGAAGAAAGAAAUGACGGUACCAACAGAAGAAGUGACGGCUAAAUACGUGCCAGCAGCCGCGGUAAUACGUAUGUCACGAGCGUUAUCCGGAUUUAUUGGGCGUAAAGCGCGUCUAGGUGGUUAUGUAAGUCUGAUGUGAAAAUGCAGGGCUCAACUCUGUAUUGCGUUGGAAACUGUAUAACUAGAGUACUGGAGAGGUAAGCGGAACUACAAGUGUAGAGGUGAAAUUCGUAGAUAUUUGUAGGAAUGCCGAUGGGGAAGCCAGCUUACUGGACAGAUACUGACGCUGAAGCGCGAAAGCGUGGGUAGCAAACAGG
rnacentral:rRNA from 1 species